GGUAGUAAUGUGACCUACUCUAUUGUUUACAAUCAAUCGACCAAUCACAUCACAGGACACUUCUUACUGCCGAAUUGACUUCAUUCACAUCUGAAAAGGUAGAAUACAGUUUUAAAUAAUUUGAAAACUACAAUGCCUUUGAAUGGAGCAUAAUUCACAUACUAUGCGUGGAAGGUUAGAGCUAAGUUAUAUGUAAUGGUUCGAUGGUUUGGUGAGGAAGUUCAUUAUGACUGCCGCCUGGUGUGACCUUGGUUUGUUUGACSGUCAGACUUUGGAAGUUUUACUCCAGAAUCCGCUUCAAAACCKCUUUACAAAAAGAUUACAUGACCUGCCACCGACCGCGUCAAACCAUUUGUGACAAAAGGACUCAAUACUAGUGGAAUAACAGCUAAAGUUUAGGCUGGAGACAAAUAAUCCUAUGGUCCAAGAUUUUCUGGAAAAAAUUGUAGAAGUCAAAGAAGGAGUCUCUCAAUCUGUUAAUGGCUAAAAUUCAGUCAGCCACACCUUUUUUCAAGACUUCCCCCGGGAGAUGGCGUUCAUGAAAACAUUUUCAAAGUUCAUAUAUCUA